GCUCUCAUGGAUUAUCUCAUUCCAGUUCUCAAACAGAACUGCGAUGGCUAUUAUUCUUUUUUCAUAUUUAUCUCUCCGUUUUCACUUCUCCACCGUGUAAACGG
rnacentral:ribozyme from 1 species